CCCGAAUUCUUGAAGAGCUACAUAGGCUAUUUUUUUAGUGUAUCAUAACUAUUAUUAAUUGCUUGGUAGAAAUGAAACGUUAUUCGUUUCAAGAUAUAUCUGGUUCUUUAAGAAAUAAAUUUAAUUUAGCCUAGUUAAGUAGUUGUUUAAAUUUUAAAUUUCUAUUUUAUCUGGUAAGUUGUCUGGGGAUAAGCUCUGACAAUAAUUUUUAUUUAAUUAUGAAUUUUGACAAAUAGAUAGGAAUAGAAAUUUCCAUUAUUGAUAUUUUGUUAUAAUUAGUUUGGUCGAUAAUAUGAUUUUUAUGAUUAAUAAGUUAUUUAUUAAAGCAUUAAAUUUAAUUUUUAAGUUUAAGUGAUAAUGAUAUAAUUAGUAUAUUAGUUUGUAUAAUUAAGUUGGGCUUAUAUAAGUGUUAAAGGAAUUCGGCAAAUUUAUUCUUCACCUGUUUAUUAAAAACAUGUCCUUUUGAUUAUUAUUUAAGGUUGGGCCUGCCCGAUGAGGAUUUGAAUGGCCGCAGUAAUUUGACUGUGCUAAGGUAGCAUAAUCAUUAGUUUCUUAAUUAGAAGCUGGUAUGAAAGGUUUGAUGAAGGGAUGGCUGUCUCUGAUAUUUUUAUAGAAUUUUAUUUUUGAGUAAAAAAGCUUAAAUUUUAUUGAAAGACGAGAAGACCCUAUAGAGUUUUAUAUAUUAGGUUGUUACAUAUUUUUGAAGUCUAUUUAGUGUAAUAAAUUAAUUUAUUUGGUUGGGGUGAUUGUAAAAUUAGUUAAACUUUUAAUAUGCAUAAUUCACUGAUAUGUGUUUUAAUGAUCCAAUAAUUUUGAUUAAAAGAGUAAAUUACCUUAGGGAUAACAGCGUAAUCUUUUUUCAGAGUUCAAAUCGAUAAAAGGGGUUGCGACCUCGAUGUUGGAUUAAAAUUUACUUGAGGUGCAAUAGCUUCAAAGUUGGGUCUGUUCGACCCUUAAAAUUUUACAUGAUCUGAGUUUAAACCGGCGUGAGCCAGGUUGGUUUCUAUCUUCAAUUAACUAUAAAGCCUUAGUACGAAAGGACCAGG
rnacentral:rRNA from 1 species